UCUUUCUAUAACGUAUUCCGAAUUUCUGACAACACUACCCCUCUCUCUGUAACAGCAAUUGAAUGAAAAUGACAACAGCGAAGAAGAAGAAGUUGAUGUCAUCGGCGCCAUGGAGGGGCAAAGAGGAAGCCACUGAACAGUUCCAAGACGAUAACGAUUGAUGAUUCCCUUGUCGAGAUAUAGUUUCAUAUGAAACGUUUCCCUUAAUCUCAAGACCUUGGCCUUGCCAUCAGAGUAUUUAGAAGGGGUGGGGAAGAAGAAGAAACAACCUAAGAAAGGGAGGCAAAAGAAGCAAAAUAGUCGGAAAUGAGGAAACCCAAUGUCUUCAUCCAAAAUAAUGUAAAAGGAAGAUUUACUUUUCACAACAAAAUAUGUGUUCUCUUAAAACAAAGAUCAUUUUGUGUUUGUUUUGUGUUUCAUUAAAUAUUGUUUACGAGGCAAUCAUAUGAAUUCUACAAGUUGUGAUUGUGUUUAGUGGACGCCCUCUUAUGUGAAUUUAAUAUUUUCUUUUGUUGUUC